UCGGGGUGCAGCAGGCGCGAAAACUUUACAAUGCGGGCAACCGUGAUAAGGGAACCUCGAGUGCCUGUAAAUGCAGGCUGUUCAGGUGCCUAAAACACACCUGAAGAAAGGGCCGGGCAAGACCGGUGCCAGCCGCCGCGGUAAUACCGGCGGCUCGAGUGGUGGCCGCUUUUAUUGGGCUUAAAGCGUUCGUAGCUGGGUUGUUAAGUCUCUUGGGAAAUCUGGCGGCUUAANCCUUCAGGGCGUUCUAAGGGAUACUGGCAAUCUUGGAACCCGGGAGGAGGUGAGGGGUACUUCGGGGGGUAGGGAGUGAAAUCCUGUAAUCCUCGAGGGACCCACCUGUAGCGAAGGCGCCUUCACCAGAACGGCUUCGACUGUGAGGGGACGAAAAGCUGGGGGAGCAAACCCGGAUUAGAUACCCGGGUAGUCCCAGCCGUAAACUAUGCGCGUUAUGUGUAUCGGUGACCACGAUUUACUUUAUGUGCCGAAUGUAAAUCGUGAAACGUGCCGCCUGGGAAGUACGGUCGCAAGGCUGAAACUUAAAGGAAUUGGCGGGGGAGCACCACAACAGGUGGAGCCUGCGGUUUAAUUGGACUCAACGCCGGGAAGCUCACCGGAUAAGACAGCAGAAUGAUUGCCGGGCUGAAGACUCUGCAUGACUAGCUGAGAGGAGGUGCAUGGCCGUCGUCAGUUCGUACUGUGAAGCAUCCUGUUAAGUCAGGCAACGAGCAAGACCCACGCCAACAGUUGCCAGCAUGGUCUCCGGACUGAUGGGGACACUGUUGGGACCGCCUCUGCUAAAGAGGAGGAAGGAAUGGGCAACGGUGGGUCAGCAUGCCCCGAAUUAUCCGGGCUACACGCGGGCUACAAUGGGCAGGACAAUGGGCAUCGACACCGAAAGGUGAAGGCAAUCUCCUAAACCUGUCCUUAGUUCGGAUUGUGGGCUGCAACUCGCCCACAUGAAGCCGGAAUCUGUAGUAAUCGCGUUUCAAAAUAACGCGGUGAAUUUGUCCCUGCUCCUUGCACACACCGCCCGUCAAACCACCCGAGUGGGGUUUGGAUGAGGUUGCGGUUGUUGCCGCAGUCGAAUCUAGGUUCCGCAAGGGGGGUUAAGUCGUAACAAGGUAUCCGUA
rnacentral:rRNA from 1 species